rnacentral:rRNA from 1 species
AACGCGAAGAACCUUACCUGGGCUUGACAUGCAUCGUGUCGCCGGUGAAAGCCGGCUAGUGUAGCAAUACACGCUUUGCACAGGUGCUGCAUGGCUGUCGUCAGCUCGUGUCGUGAGAUGUUGGGUUAAGUCCCGCAACGAGCGCAACCCUUGUGUCCUGUUGCCACCCCGGCGAGAGUCGGGAGCACUCUGGACAGACUGCCUCGCUUAAACGAGGAGGAAGGUGGGGAUGACGUCAAGUCAGUAUGGCCCUUACGGCCAGGGCUGCACACGUACUACAAUGCCCGGCACAAAGGGAAGCAAGACCGCAAGGUGGAGCAAAUCCCCGAAAACCGGGCCCAGUUCAGAUUGUCGUCUGCAACUCGACGGCAUGAAGUUGGAAUCGCUAGUAAUGGCGCAUCAGCUACGGCGCCGUGAAUACGUUCCCGGGCCUUGUACACACCGCGCAUA